UACGUAGGGUGCGAGCGUUAAUCGGAAUUACUGGGCGUAAAGCGUGCGCAGGCGGCGCGUUAAGACAGGCGUGAAAGCCCCGAGCUUAACUUGGGAAUUGCGCUUGUGACUGGCGUGCUGGAGUGGUGGCAGAGGGGAGGUGGAAUUCCACGUGUAGCAGUGAAAUGCGUAGAUAUGACGGAGGAACACCGAUGGCGAAGGCAAUCCCCUGGACCUGUACUCGACGCUCAUGCACGAAAGCGUGGGGAGCAAACAGG
rnacentral:rRNA from 1 species